UCGGGCCUACGGGAGGCAGCAGUGAGGAAUAUUGGUCAAUGGGAGAGAUCCUGAACCAGCCAAGCCGCGUGAGGGAAGACGGCCCUAUGGGUUGUAAACCUCUUUUGUCGGGGAACAAAGGCGCCCACGGGUGGGCGGAUGAGUGUACCCGAAGAAAAAGCAUCGGCUAACUCCGUGCCAGCAGCCGCGGUAAUACGGAGGAUGCGAGCGUUAUCCGGAUUUAUUGGGUUUAAAGGGUGCGUAGGCGGUCCGUUAAGUCAGCGGUAAAAUUGCGGGGCUCAACCCCGUCGAGCCGUUGAAACUGG
rnacentral:rRNA from 1 species